GAUGAACGCUGGCGGCGUGCCUAAUACAUGCAAGUCGAGCGAACAGACGAGGAGCUUGCUCCUUUGACGUUAGCGGCGGACGGGUGAGUAACACGUGUGUAACCUACCUAUAAGACUGGGAUAACUUCGGGAAACCGGCGCUAAUACCGGAUAAUAUUUCGAACCGCAUGGUUCGAUAGUGAAAGAUGGCUCUGCUGUCACUUAUAGAUGGAUCUGCGCCGUAUUAGCUAGUUGGUAAGGUAACGGCUUACCAAGGCAACGAUACGUAGCCGACGUGAGAGGGUGAUCGGCCACACUAGAACUGAGACACGGUCCAGACGCCUAAGAGAGGCAGCAGUAGGGAAUCUUACGCAAUGGGCGAAAACCUGGCGGAGCAACGCCGCGUGAGUGAUGAAGGUCUUCGGAUCGUAAAACUCUGUUAUUAGGGAAGAACAAACGUGUAAGUAACUGUGCACGUCUUGACGGUAACUAAUCAGAAAGCCACGGCUAACUACGUG
rnacentral:rRNA from 1 species